CGGGCUUGGGGGCUUGCUCCCGGGUUAGUGGCGAACGGGUGAGUAAUAUAUCGGAACAUAUCCGGAAGUGGGGGAUAACGUAGCGAAAGUUACGCUAAUACCGCAUAUGCCCUGAGGGGGAAAGGGGGGGAUCGCAAGACCUCUCGCUUUCGGAGUGGCCGAUACCGGAUUAGCUAGAUGGUGAGGUAAAGGCUCACCAUGGCGACGAUCCGUAGCGGGUCUGAGAGGACGACCCGCCACACUGGAACUGAGACACGGUCCAGACUCCCACGGGAGGCAGCAGUGGGGAAUUUUGGACAAUGGGCGCAAGCCUGAUCCAGCCAUACCGCGUGAGUGAAGAAGGCCUUCGGGUUGUAAAGCUCUUUCAGCCGGAAAGAAAUUGCUUCUAUUAAUACUAGGGGUAGAUGACAGUACCGGAAGAAGAAGCACCGGCUAACUACGUGCCAGCAGCCGCGGUAAUACGUAGGGUGCGAGCGUUAAUCGGAAUUACUGGGCGUAAAGCGUGCGCAGGCGGUUUGGUAAGACAGAUGUGAAAUCCCCGGGCUUAACCUGGGAACUGCAUUUGUGACUGCCAGACUAGAGUGUAGCAGAGGGGGGUAGAAUUCCACGUGUAGCAGUGAAAUGCGUAGAGAUGUGGAGGAAUACCGAUGGCGAAGGCAGCCCCCUGGGCUAACACUGACGCUCAUGCACGAAAGCGUGGGGAGCAAACAGGAUUGGAUACCCUGGUAGUCCACGCCCUAAACGAUGUCAACUAGGUGUUGGGGAAGGAGACUUCUUUAGUACCGCAGCUAACGCGUGAAGUUGACCGCCUGGGGAGUACGGUCGCAAGAUUAAAACUCAAAGGAA
rnacentral:rRNA from 1 species